UUAGCAUACGAUAUCCAUCAGCUGUUCUCAGAAUAGUUGGUUUUGCUGUUUGACGUAAUUACUAGCGAUUAACAAUUUAAUAAAAGAUGUACGUUCCUUAUGUGGUUAGUAUGUAAAUAUUAAUUAUUGUAAAUGUUCUACUAAAUGUAAUAGAUGUUUUAACAUAAAUAUUAAAGAACAACUAACUCAAUAACAUUAAUAUAUAUAAAUCUUUCGUAAUGUUUGAAUAUUAACGCCAUUGUAAAUAAUAACAUAAAAUAUUUUGGUCGCCUGGAAUUUUUCUGCGAACCUCGAUAAUAUAUACGCCUAAGUUUUUAAGAGAAGUUCUGUUUUCUAAUCUUCUAUCUCCGUGUAUCAAAUUUAUGAUGGAAAGGUAGUAUUUGUGUUCCACGCGUGCUUAAUUAUACGUCAACGUGUCUUUAUCCAACGCGAUAAUUAUUCUUCAUUUGCAUUUUGUCGAGACAAACAAUUCGAAACGAAGAUCCUGGACGAGACCUCUUUUGUCGAACCAGCCGACAACACAGAUAGCUUCUCAUACUUUUCAACCGGGAAAUCGAAGUGAGAAAAAAUUCUCGGCCUCGUUAAGUUCAAGAUGGAACGAUGGUGCUGUUAAUUCUUUUAAAAGCCAGGUAGCUGGGGCACAUCAGAAUAAUUUGCAUAAAAUAUACUAAAAGGGCGAAAAUAAUUUCUAAAUUAGAAAACUAUAAAUUUUAAUAUAAAAGAAAUAGAAUUAGUAUAUGAAUAGGGAGACAGAGCGAGAGAUGUACGAGAAGAUUAGCAGAGAAUCGUAAGAGACAGAAUAUUAAGAAUUAACAUUUAUGAAGAAAUGAAAGAAAUAGAAAUAGAAUGCGUGCUAAUUUAAGCAGGAGUAAACGCCAAUAAUUAUGAAAAUAAAUCGAAUUAUAGAGAGUAUCAUUGUGGUUUAAGGGAUAAAAGAAUAUCUUUGUAAAGCGGAUUAAAUUCGUAUAAAUAUAAUAUGUUAUUCAUCGCAUAUGUUUCAUCGAGAUUGAUGGUAGUAGAGGAUUAUUAAUUUCAUGAAUGAAAUAUUGGGAAAUUGAAACAGUCUAAUAAGAGUGUGUAGAUAUAUGUAUCAGAAGAAUGUAUGAUUCAGUAAACCGAAUCAUCUUCAUAGCCGGGAGACUGAAAAAUAAAGUAUUAACACUGUUACUACUUGUUAACAAAUACCCGUUAAUGAUAUCUAAAAUUAUUGUAAUUUUUUCCAUAGAAUAUCAGUAGAAUUUUUCUUAUACAGGUUGUGAAUGUACGUCAUGAAUGGUUUCGAAUUAAAUCAUUAAUCGUGAUGCUUUGUUUCAAAUAUCAAUGUAAUUAUGAUUUGCAUGUCUUAUUACAAUGUGAAUGAAAUUUUAACAUGUAUCGCACACGUAUACCUUUAUCGGAGAAAUAUAAAAUGAUCAUUUACAUUUUCGUAGUAUGAUAUGAAACAAGCUGGUUCUUUAUUUUUUAAGUACCAGACAGAAGAACGUUUGAACUGGCGUUAUUAGGUAGAAGAAAUCAGACUCGAAGGAAACGAAGAAGCGCAAUAAAAGGCGAUCCACGUCUGAGAAAAGUACGGGAAAACUCUUGGUUCCCGACAUCGCGUUUCCUUUUCCCGAGUUCUGUUAAUGAGUUUAAAGCGAUCGAACGGAAUUAAAUCUAAUUAAGCAGAAAGGAGAAAAUAUGAAUAGCACUUUGAUGUUCACUGAGUUAUCUAACACGUACUCGCUGAUGAGCAAUGAACUACAUGGUAAUUAAUAGAUAAAUUAUAUCGUAAUGCGAAAAAUUUCCCCUAAAAAUCCAAAAAUUUCUAAUUACUAGAAAUUGAAAUGUAUAAAUUCUCUUUUCUUUGGGAUGGUAAGCGGUGCUGUUGCAACAUUAACUUUAGAGAAAGGAAACUUCUACAAGUCUAGGAUUUUCAUGCACCAUCAUUGCGUGAUAAUUCUUGACCAUUGGUUAAUUUAAUGUUUGGUUACUAUAGUGUAAUUAUUCUUGUCAUAAACUGACAUUUAAUGUAAAUUUGGUAUAAGGAGCACAUAUAAAUUUGUUUCUAGCUUGUAUAAAACAUAAAAGUCAUAAUAAUUAUUGUAAUAAGUUGCUUUAAGUAAAGAGAACGCGUAAAUUUACACUGAAGAUUUAAAAAUAUCAUUGAAUUAUAUUUAUUUGUUUAUCGCAAGUACGAUGACUCAAACGCGUUGACGAAUGCUUUUCUCGUUUUAUGCGGAAAAGAUAAUAGAAAAUGCGAGGCAUGAUGUAGAACUCAUGCUAGAGAGAUGACAUCACUUGCAAUGUGUAUCGAUGAUAUCAUGUUGCAUUCUUGUUUCUACGUUUACAUAAUUAUUUCGACGACUUUUUACGAAAGAAAUUUACACGAGAUGCAUAUAAAGUGA